UACGUAGGUGGCAAGCGUUGUCCGGAUUUACUGGGCGUAAAGAGCGCGCAGGCGGUCGUUCAAGUCGCGUGUGAAAGCCCCCCGGCUCAACUGGGGAGGGUCACGCGAUACUGAUCGACUCGAAGGCAGGAGAGGGUAGUGGAAUUCCCGGUGUAGUGGUGAAAUGCGUAGAUAUCUGGAGGAACACCGGUGGCGAAGGCGGCAUCCUGGACCGAGUACUGACGCUGAGGAGCGAAAGCCAGGGGAGCAAACGGG
rnacentral:rRNA from 1 species